rnacentral:rRNA from 1 species
GACGAACGCUGGCGGCGUGCUUAACACAUGCAAGUCGAACGAUGAAGCCGGAGCUUGCUCUGGUGAAUUAGUGGCGAACGGGUGAGUAACACGUGAGUAACCUGCCCUUGACUCUGGGAUAACUGCGGGAAACUGUAGCUAAUACCGGAUACGACCCUCGGCGGCAUCGCCAGGGGGUGGAAAGAAUUUCGGUCAAGGAUGGACUCGCGGCCUAUCAGCUAGUUGGUGAGGUAACGGCUCACCAAGGCGACGACGGGUAGCCGGCCUGAGAGGGUGACCGGCCACACGGGGACGGAGACACGGCCCAGACUCCUACGGGGGGCAGCAGUGGGGAAUAUUGCACAAUGGGCGAAAGCCUGAUGCAGCAACGCCGCGUGAGGGAUGACGGCCUUCGGGUUGUAAACCUCUUUUAGUAGGGAAGAAGCGAAAGUGACGGUACCUGCAGAAAAAGCACCGGCUAACUACGUGCCAGCAGCCGCGGUAA